rnacentral:rRNA from 1 species
GACGAACGCUGGCGGCGUGCCUAACACAUGCAAGUCGAACGGGACCUCCGGUUUUGGUGGCUACUGGGGGCGUGACGGGUGGGGACACGCCCUUGUAUUCGGCAUAACUCCCCGGGAGAGGUUCUAAUACCGGGGGAUAUUUUCGGACAAAAGAUUUUUCGGCUUUGUUUGGGCCGGCGUUGGAUUGGGUAGUUGGUAGGGUAAACGCCUGCCAAGGCGAGGAUCCAUAGCUGGUCUGAGAGGAUGAUCAGCGACACUGGGACUGAGACACGGCCCAGACUCCUAGCAGAGGCAGCAGUGGGGGAUAUAGGACUAUGGGCGAGAUGCUGAUACAGCAAGGGCGGGAGAGCGAUGAAGGCCUUGGGGUCGGAAAGCGCUCUUGCCCGAGAUGAGAAUGACAGUACCGGGAGAAGAAGCACCGGCUAACUACGUG